UAAGAACGACUCUCGGCAACGGAUAUCUCGGCUCUUGCAUCGAUGAAGAACGUAGCGAAAUGCGAUACUUGGUGUGAAUUGCAGAAUCCCGUGAACCAUCGAGUCUUUGAACGCAAGUUGCGCCCGAAGCCAUCAGGCCUAGGGCACGUCUGCCUGGGCGUCACACACU
rnacentral:rRNA from 1 species